rnacentral:misc_RNA from 1 species
GAAAGCAUUUGUUGGCGCAAAAGCUCUUGUUGCUGCUUCGGGUAAAGCAUUUGUUAGUGAUGGAUCACCUGCUAAAGCCUGUUCAAGCUCUUGUUUGGGCUCAUGCGAAAGAACUUUUAGCGGCUCCUUCUAGCAUUUGGUAUUCUGCGAAAGCUCUUCCUGCCUCACUCUUACAUUCUGGGGAUCCAGCUAAAGCAUUUGCCGGUUCAAAGGCUAUUUCACUCGUUAAUCAAUCCAAUACUUGCUUUGCGAGAUCGACAGGCAAAGGAGUUCUUUGACUCCUGGCAAAGCGGGAAUGAAAAUCUACACUACGCCGGUCAAAAG